GUCAGAAUGGCCGAGUGGUCUAAGGCGCUGCGUUCAGGUCGCAGUCUACAUCCGUAGGCGUGGAUUCGAAUCCCACUUCUGACA